AUUGAACGCUGGCGGCAGGCCUAACACAUGCAAGUCGAGCGGAGCGGCGGACGGGUGAGUAAUGCCUAGGAAUCUGCCUGGUAGUGGGGGAUCACGUCCGGAAACGGGCGCUAAUACCGCAUACUAUCAGAUGAGUCUAGGGCGGAUUAGCUAGUUGGUGGGGUAAAGGCCUACCAAGGCGACGAUCCGUCACUGGGCUGAGAGGAUGAUCAGUCACACUGGAACUGAGACACGGUCCAGACUCCUACGGGAGGCAGCAGUGGGGAAUAUUGGGCAAUGGGCGAAAGCCUGAUCCAGCCAUGCCGCGUGUGUGAAGAAGGUCUUCGGAUGGUAAAGCUCUUUAAGUUGGGAGGCGUUACCAACAGAAUAAGCACCGGCUAACUUCGUGCCAGCCGCCGCGGUAAUUC
rnacentral:rRNA from 1 species